AAAUCAAUUUUGCAAUCUUGAGACUUUAAUCUAACAAAUCUGCAAAUCAUCAUGCACCUUUUAACUAUCACAAUCUAUAAAUCUAAGAUUGCAUAUGCUUUUUAAUUAGGACCUUGCCAAAUUUUCUAGCUUUACUUUUGAAAAGCAAAAAUUUCUAAUUAGAUUAAACUUUACUAAUAGCCAAAGACUCAUAAACAAGAUUGUGAAGCUAAAUCUAAUAGUAACGACU
rnacentral:lncRNA from 1 species